UACAGAGGUCUCGAGCGUUGUUCGGAUUCAUUGGGCGUAAAGGGCGCGUAGGCGGCGGGGUAAGUCUGGUGCGAAAUCUCGGAGCUCAACUCCGAAAUUGCACUGGAUACUGCUCUGCUAGAGGGCUGGAGAGGAGAUCGGAAUUCACGGUGUAGCAGUGAAAUGCGUAGAUAUCGUGAGGAAGACCAGUGGCGAAGGCGGAUCUCUGGACAGCUCCUGACGCUGAGGCGCGAAGGCUAGGGGAGCAAACGGG
rnacentral:rRNA from 1 species